rnacentral:RNase_P_RNA from 1 species
CGAGCAAGCCGGGCGAUCGCUGCCUUGCCCUAGCGCUCCGCUCGGCGGGGCUGGCAGGGGCAGGGGAGAGGAAAGUCCGAACUCCGCAGGGCAGUGUGCUCGCUAACGGCGAGGGUCGAAAGGGGAGCCCCGGCCAAUCGGGGCGUACGCUUUCGGCACGGAAAGUGCCACAGAAAACAAACCGCCCGGUUUCCUUCCGCUUCGGCGAAGGGCCGGGUAAGGGUGAAAAGGUGCGGUAAGAGCGCACCGCUCCGGUAGCGAUAUCGGAGGCACGGUAAACCCCACACGGAGCAAGACCAAAUAGGGGAGGAGGAGUGACCCGCUCCGCAAUCCUCUGUAGCGCCGUUCUACGAACGGCGAAUCGCUGGUUCCAAUCGACCGCGCCGCUCUGGCGGCGGAUCGCUGGUUCUGAUCGACGCCGGUCAUAGACCGGCGCUACAGGGGGCAACUCCCGGGUAGGUCGCUCGAUCCCGGCAGCAAUGCCGGGGCUAGAGGAAUGAUCGCCGCCCCGAUCGCUUCGGGGCACAGAAUUCGGCUUACAGGCUUGCUCGCGCC